GCCGGGGUUGCCGAGUGGUAAGGCGGUGGCCUGCUAAGCCACUGGGCUCUGCCCGCGUGGGUUCGAAUCCCACCCCCGGCG
rnacentral:tRNA from 2 species